AUUGAACGCUGGCGGCAUGCCUUACACAUGCAAGUCGAACGGUAACAGGUCCUCGGAUGCUGACGAGUGGCGAACGGGUGAGUAAUACAUCGGAACGUGCCCGAUCGUGGGGGAUAACGAAGCGAAAGCUUUGCUAAUACCGCAUACGAUCUACGGAUGAAAGCAGGGGACCGCAAGGCCUUGCGCGAACGGAGCGGCCGAUGGCAGAUUAGGUAGUUGGUGGGAUAAAAGCUUACCAAGCCGACGAUCUGUAGCUGGUCUGAGAGGACGACCAGCCACACUGGGACUGAGACACGGCCCAGACUCCUACGGGAGGCAGCAGUGGGGAAUUUUGGACAAUGGGCGAAAGCCUGAUCCAGCCAUGCCGCGUGCAGGAUGAAGGCCUUCGGGUUGUAAACUGCUUUUGUACGGAACGAAAAGACUCUGGUUAAUACCUGGGGUUCAUGACGGUACCGUAAGAAUAAGCACCGGCUAACUACGUGCCAGCCGCCGCGGUAA
rnacentral:rRNA from 1 species